rnacentral:lncRNA from 1 species
GAGAAAGUCCCUGAGGAGCCGAAGAAGAGGAAGUUGGUGCACAUCUCCAGCUCGUCUGGCAAAUUUGGGAGUUCUGUGUCCCAAGGUAAAGAAGCCAGACCGCCAAAGCUAUUGGAAGCCGCCUCGAAAGCAGUUAAGAUUGAAACGGUUAUGCGUGAAGAGGCUGAUGAGGCUAGGGAGGAGGCUGCAAGGAGGUAAGCUGAGGUGGCUGAGGAGGAGGCCGCCAAAGUGAAACCUGUUCAAGUACAAGGGAAGACUCCAAGCUUCCUUGCCGGUAGGGAGGAGCCUCUGGCUCUAGCUUUGGUGGAGGCCCUACCACUUGAGAUCCGAGGCGCCACAGAAUGUUUUUAUAGAUUCUGGAAGGAUCGGUGGCAGCUGCACGCCUCCUCCUGUGAUGCCACGGACUUGACCAGGGCUCUUGCGAGCCAAAGUGUUAGGACUUUUGGCCUUGCACUGGAAUGCAGGGAGGCCCUCACUAACUUUCAGACGAGGACCACCGCCUCAGAAAGGAAGACUGCCUCCCUUGCAGAGAAGCUGAAGGUAGCUAGGGCUGAGGCUAAGGAAGCUAGAGCCCAAAAACUUGAAGAAUCGGCCAAGCUGGAAUCUACCUUAGCUCAGAUAGAGGCAUUGAGGAGGGAGGUACAUGAGUCCCAGUGCGAGGUGGCCUCCUUGACUAAAAAGGUGGAGGUUUCCAAUGACCACCAGAAAAUGACAGCCAAAGCCUUGGAGAAGGCUAACAAGGAGCUGGCAGGGGCCCAAGAUGCAACCAAGUUCAUCGAAGGCCAAAUUAAGUGGUACGUCGAUGAGGUAGCCCAUGCUAGGGAGGAGGUAGUGAAAGACUACAUUGCCAACUUUCACAACACCAAUCAGUACAAGAGCUUUAGCACUUACUAGAGGAACUUUGUUUAUGCCGAGGUGAUGGAGCGGGCUGAGGAGUUGUACCUAAAUCAGAACUUGUCGCAACUCAGUUCGGAGUUUGUGGAUAAGGUACCUCAAACCCCAAUUGGUGAAGCAGUG